rnacentral:sRNA from 1 species
UCCGUGUGACGCAGUAUUCUAGUCAGGCGGUUUCUCCCCAGGAUGGGCCUAAAAAUCCAUCGAAGGGCAUAUCGAUGAAGUCUCUGGUGCUUGCUUCUUACGCCCAGUUUGGGGUGGGUGCUGGGGGUUAAGGCUUUAGGGCGCGUUUCAAUGGCAUGAAAUACCGACCCUAUUGCCGUGGAGACCCGACGCUGUGGGACACCUAUAGCAUUCCCUGUGAAUUGAUGGAUGUCCUACGGCCCGGGGUGAAACCUGUAAUGCGGUGCAGCGAAAGACGCACAGGAACUGACCGGCCAGUCGGGCCUGUGCGGCGCCUCAACGUGCUGUGUACAGAGUAGCCUGCCUUGCGUGGUUAUGGUGGAUGUGAUACCCACCUGCCGACUUAUGGCCAUAAGUCUGGCGGGCAUUGAUUGCUGAAACCAUAGCUGCAAAAGAGGCUAAGGAGAACACCGAACCUGUCGUGGAAAUCACCUAGGCUGUCUGAAAUAUGGGCGGGCGUGGGAUUGCAGUGCGGACUCAGUGGCAAUUCGGUCCCGGAUGUGGUGACACUCCGGCGCGGGCUUUCAUGGGAAACCACCGGAGCGGCGACGCACGGCAGCCUUCGGGGAAAUCCAACCGAACCUAAGCCGCAAGAUUUACCACCCCCGCUGUCACAUUUUUUAU